CUUGGUCAUUUAGAGGAGUAAAAGUCGUAACAAGGUUUCCGUAGGUGAACCUGCGGAAGGAUCAUUAAGAAUUUAGGCUUUACCGCCAUAUUCUCACCCUUUGUAUACUAUACCUUGUUGCCUUGGCAGGCUGUUACAGGCCUGCCAGUGGACUCAAACCCUAGAUCUCUGCUGUCUGAGUACUAUAUAAUAGUCAAAACUUUCAACAACGGACUCGUGGUUCUGGCAUCGAUGAAGAACGCAGCGAAAUGCGAUAAGUAAUUGAGUUGCAGAAUUCAGUGAAUCAUCGAAUCUUUGAACGCACAUUGCGCCUCUGGUAUUCCAGGGGGCAUGCCUGUUCGAGCGUCAUUACAACCCUCAGCUCUGCGUGGUACUGGGCUCGCCCUCUAGGGCCUGCCUCAAAGUCAGUGCGGCACUGUCUGACCCCUAAGCGUAGUAAUACACCUCGCUUUUGGACGUAGACGGAGGCCUGCCAUGAACCCCCACUCUAUAGGUUGACCUCGGAUCGGUAGGGAUACCCGCUGAACUUAAGCAUAUCAAUAAGCGGAGGA
rnacentral:rRNA from 1 species